AUGGAUCUUGGUGAAACCGUAGGAAAAAUUUUAAUUUUCUGCAACGUUCCCCAACACAUUUGGCAGGUUUGCAUUGUAUAUGAUGAUAGAAUGAUGAGUCACAAACCAGUAAAUUUUUGUCUCAAAAAGGAUAAGAGGAUGCUACAACAUAAUGCUCCAUACUUGGCAUAUGAGGUACCUGGGCGCCUUGACGCCAUCAUGAAAGCAUCAAGGAAAGACAAAGUGAUUGAAAGGGUGAAGGUGUUGAAAUCGGAACCUGCAAAGCUUGAAGAUAUGCUGGCUAUCCAUUCUCUUAAACACAUGAAUUUUAUCGAAAGCCUUCCGCUAAACAAAACAAAUGUGGACGAGUUCAGUGAAUAUUACACCGAUGAUAUGUAUUGUUCUGCUGGUACAAGAGAAGCUGUGUAUUUAGCUGCUGGAGGAUUUAUAAUGGGGUGUGAGGGUGUUUUUAAGGGUGAUUUCCAAAGUGCUUUUGCAAUCGUUCGUCCCCCUGGCCAUCAUGCAAGAGAGUCUAUUGCGGAGGGAUUUUGCUACGCUAACAAUCUUGCUAUCGGGACAUCCAAACUUAUUAGAGAAGUAAGAGUUGAAAGGGUUCUCGUGGUGGACUUUGACGUCCACCAUGGGAACGGUACCCAAGAACUAUUUUAUAAGAGUGAUCAAGUGUUGUUUGUGUCAACCUACAAAUACCCGUCUUCACCUUCAAAAGAUAUCAAUCAGAUUGGGGAGGGUAAAGGAGAGGGUUAUAAUAUUAAUAUUCCUCUAUCCAAUAAAUUCAAGAAUGCUGAUAUCCAGUUUGUUUGGGAUGAGUUUCUGUUACCUAUUGCAAAAGAAUAUAACCCUCAGAUUAUACUUGUUUCCGCAGGGUUUGACGCGGCAAUAGGAGACCCAGUAGGAAAGUGCCUUCUGUCUCCAAAAUGUUAUGGAACGCUUAUUCAAAAACUGAUGGAAAUUGGUACAGGAAGGAUGGUCCUCUCGUUGGAGGGAGGUUAUCAUCUCCCAAUGUUGGCCGAUUGUGUUUCCCAUUGUGUCAGGGCACUUCUCGGUGACAUUGAUGUCCUGUUGGAUGGAAGCGAACGUGGUCUUCCAUUUCGAUCAACGAAGAAAACCGCGACUCGCUUGCGCUGUCUUCGUCCGCGCCUAGGCCGCGAGGCACUCCACGCCGCGGCUUGGGCAGAGGUGGAACUCCGCCACCGCCUCCUCCAUGCUGAACCCGCCAAGCUCAACCUCCAUGCCCGACACCUCCUCCGCACCUUCAUGUCUGGCCUUGACAUUUUGUCCUCCUCUGCAAGGCAAGCAACGCGACAUAUCUCGGUCACGCGCAUCUCCCGUAUGAUCUCCGCCCAGCACUCGGGCGUGAGCAUUUUGUAA
rnacentral:rRNA from 1 species